GUGUGUGCGCGUGCGGCCGUGUGCCGCUCCGCGUGCGCGCGCGGUGCCAUCCUCAACAAGUUGCAGGAGGGGAAGGGAGAGGAGGGGUUAAUCCCGGGGAAUCUUCUGCACCUAGCGAGAUCGUGACCCUCCCACACAGUACAGUAACUUAUAUACAUACCUGGAGGAAGGGACGCUUCGCUUUUGGGCUUUCUAAAAAAAAAAACAACAACAACCCAAAAAACCAAAAAAAAACAAACAGUGCUUGGUGAUCGGGCACGCGGCGCGGGACCGCCGAAGCGGCCGGGAGGCAGCGCCAGGUGUGGCCGUGCCGUCGGGGCCGAGGAAGCCGUGGCGCCGCGGGAACAGCAGCCCGCACCAGGUAGUCAAGCUUCCUAAUUUGUAGAAGAGAGUUGCAAAAGUCAUUCCUGUGAAAAUCUGAAUCCCCACUUAAAAGAUUUAAGAAGCCAGAAAAAGACAUGAAUUAGCAGAGUGGCACGUAGGCUUUAAAAAAUCUGCCUGCUGUUGGUCCUUAGACUCGCCCUCCACAGAGCAGCGCUCUUCAUUCACCCACCUUACGUUUACAGGAACAUCUGCUGGGAAAAUAUGUUGCAGCACAGGUGUUCUGAUCUGCAAAAGACCACAGUUUAACCCCCCAAAUCGUGUAACACCACUGAAUACUACAAUAGAAACCCACAGGAUUGAUUUCCUGAAGACAGGAUGUCCCUAUUAACUCUCACCAGGAAGAAGAGAGAAAGGAACUUCCCAGGUGUGUCUUGCAUACCUUAGCACCAGAGCUAACAGAGCUGUUUUACCAGACUACACUUUCUUACAGGUCCCUUCAAGGUAUUGCAGGCUGCAGAGCUGUCCCUGUGUGGAAACUAGAAGCUCUUUAUCUUCAGAUGCUGAUAACCUUGCUGAUUCUUUACAUGCAGGAACGUGGUGCAGCCUCUGCUUCGGACAGGAGGAUGUUCGUCCCAGGAGAAGGAGCAUCAGUUCUCAGACGGUAGUAUGUGAGCUGCAGAUAGAAACUUGAGGCUUACAGGGCAGAAAUGUGACUGAACUAAAUCUAUGAGUAUGGAAUGAAACGUGCUUGGUCAUUAUUGAAACUGGAUUCCUGAAACGUUUUUCUUUUAUCAUAAGUUUGAUUUUUCUGAAGAAAAAUACAGCUGUCCAUAGCAUAUGCUUUCUCUUCUCUUGACCUUUUUGAAUUAGAGGGAAGUUGUUGUCUUUCCCACUGUAAUGCUGGGAACACAGUACAGGGGCUACAGCAAAGGAAGGUUUUCUGACUUGAUGUGCUCAGAUCAUCCUACAAGGCAUUCCACUGCAAAAGGAGGGACUUUCAUUGGUGUCACUACUUACUGUCCUCCUCUUGUGUUGAUGUUUCCAGGGGGAUAGUGUUUCUUACCCCCUGAAUAGGUGGCCUUCUGCAUGGGAGCAUUAUUACGGUGUCUUUUGUCUUUUAUAUAGCUUACUUCCUCAUACUCCAAGAAUGAAAAAACAGUCGAAGGAGAGAGGAAAUGAUAGGGUAGCUCCCUUAGAAGAGCCUCUCCUAGGAAAAAAUAGCUCAGAACCCCUAAAAUGAUCAUACAGUUGGUACAAAAGCUGCUGGUUGUUGUUGUUAUAGCAGCAUCUACAGGAAUAGAAAUAGCAAGAAGAGAAAUAGAAAGGCUGGCAUUCCCUCGCUUUCCAACUUGUGAAAAUUUUAGGAAGGAAAUUUACAUAUUUUGGAGCUACUAUUUCUGCAGUGCCUUCUUAUGCAGAAGCUUACCUCGAAAUUUAAUCAGGCUGUCCUAAUAGGUGAAAAUACUAUCUGUACUCAUUUAAGAGUGGGGGUGGUCGUUUCUGUCUCAGGUGUUUCUGUGGGAGGAGUUCAAAUGAUUGCCACCAUUCUUAACUGUUGUUAAGGGAGAUGGCAGUUUGAUUUAAGCUAUGAAGGUGUAAUGAGUUUUGCUCUCCCACCAUCUUGCACAAAGAAGCACUCAGAGAGGACAGACUUAAGCAGUUUGAGCCAGGCAGUGAUCUGCUACCAUAAAUUCCCCAGCAUUGUAUUGCCCUUUGAUGCUUCAGUUACAGUCCAUGAAUGGAAGACUGGAACACGUGGAUGACUUUUUGGCAUCUGAAGCUGCCGAGUUGCCUGCUUGUGAUGUUGGAGAAAGGAUCUCCUCCUGUUCCAGACCCCACAUUUAUCUGCCUCUUAAGGAUGUGCAACAGAUUUUCUCUUCUGUCCCUAUUAGUGCCGUAGUUAAUUCUGUGCCCUGCUGUUUCCUCACAUCUAACCAUGAGAGACACAUCUUGCUUUAUGGGCAUUCUUUGAAGCAUAAUUCAUGGUUGUGAAAUACCGGCAGUGGCCAAGACAGAAAACCUUCUCAGAUUCUGGAGGGGCAUCCAGUGUGUGAAUGUUUAAGGAAGCACUAAAGGAACAAGGGCUUUUCUAAAGGAUCUGAUGACAAAGCUAUUCCACUUGAAUAUAGGAAAAGGGUAGUAGUUCUGUGGGAGAGAUGAAGCGCUGUGUGAUUCCUGCCCCAAAGAUAGGAUCCAGCUGGUGCUAGGCAGAGUCUGUCAAUGACAGCAGUUGGAUUGGGUGGAGGUGGGUGGAGGGCUUGGGCACAGUUUCACACUCAAUACACUCCACAAAAGGAUUCAGUGGAAGAGGGAUGAGAGUGGUGAAAAGGUGGUCAUAGAUGAGGAGAAAAAGGUUUCUUACCAAACGUAGUCCACCAUCUGGGUCUGAAAGUGACUUCAUCAUGCAAGAUGACACUGCGUGCUGGUAGUGGCAUGAGGAACACACAUUCCUGAACUUUGUUCAUUUUAUAUGGACAAAUAUCUGUAUCCCUUAUCUACAGUUACAAAACUAGAUAGCAGAGACAUCAAGGAUUAAACAAUGAGAACACAAUAUUUUGUUUCCACAGAUGAUAUUUUCAGCUCAAAAUCAAUACAUUUCAAUGGGCUGUAGGAUUGAGAAAGGUUAAUCUUCUAUUGCUUCAGCCCGUACUGUGUGUCUUUGCUGAAGAUGUUCUGUGCUUGGAUUUCUGCAGCAUGCACAACUAUUAGGGUUGUUUUGAAGAAAUACUUGCUUGAUUUUUAGCGCUGUUGGUGAUUGAAAAAACAAACCACCAAACUUUCAUAUGUAUGUUUUACUCAAAGUUUUUCCAGUUUUGCAUGAGGAGUGGAUCUGGAGCCUCGUAAUAAUCUCAUUGUAAUAAUUUAUGAGAACUCUGAACAGGGAAUGGAAAAAAAAUAAAGGAAUUAUGAGGUUUAGCAAGAGACAGCAGAGCUCACUUGCUAACUAGGGUGGGAAGAAGUAAAAAAUCCCUAUAUAAAGUACUAGAAGUUUAUAGUGCUGUUAAUGUUGUUUCUUGUUCUAUUUAAAAAGAAAUGGAGUGGACCUAUUUAUAAAGAUCAGUGUUUACCUGUAUGAUGAAUUACAAGCUGUAGACUUGACUAGUUAAUAUGCAAACAACUGUCUUGCUUUCAUUUCUGAUCAGCGUCCAUUGGUACGUUUAUCUGGCGUGAUUAGUUGUUGAGAAAUAUGGGACUUUAAUCCCUAAAGCAUGAGGGUGUGCUGAUGAUGCCUCCAUUUCUUUUAAGAAACAAGAAGAUAUGUGCAAUUGUAGCACAGUGUGGUAACCUAAGAAGCCUCAAUGAUUUAGUUUGAAAGACUUGUGUUUCAGGCUUGUGUUUAAAGGUUCCUGUCCUGAUAGAAGCUAUAGUCAAAGGUGUGAAAAUGCAGGAUUAGAGAAACGUUCCAAUGAGAAAUUGUGCCUGUUUGCUGGUACAGGUGCUUUCAGGAAGGGAAGGGAAUACUGAUUUUUUGAGUUCUUUUUGCAUGAGCCCUGUAAAAGGGAUGGAGGAGGUGCCUAAGAAAAGUCUCAGGACUGGGAAUCCCAAGCAAGUUAGCUUACUUCAACCUGGAGCUGGGAUCCAUGUAUGAAGAGUCCUGAGAAAUGUAUUGAACUGUCCAUCUGAUUCCUGUAAAGAGUUUUUCACUUUAACUAGGCUUGUCAGAUCCCAUUCUUAUAUGCUCUUCUGCAUUAUACACUGAGGCAGGGUGUCUAAUUUGGAGCCUUGGAUUUGGGCAGAGAAAAAGUGUAGGGCUCAGUGGUGCAGUAGCCGGGCCCUGUACUGGAUCUGGCCUCACUGCAGUGUGUGUGAGUAAUGGUAACGGAGUCAUAAGAACAGAAUGACUGUACAGGGGAGAGAGCUGCACUUGACUUGCUAGGGUGAAAAACAUAUUUGUAAAGGGAUUCAAUUAGUGUUGGGUACAAGAAUGCCACUUAGUGAAACAAGCGACUGUACCUCUUUUUCAGCGGCAGAGAAAAGUGACACAUCCUGGAUAACCAGCAGUCCCCGUUCCUAUUCUCAGUGUCCCUGCAGAGCUGAUGGCACCGCGGGCUGGUUGAGCCACCUUCCAUGUGAUGGAGCAAUGUAGCUAAGCUGUAGGUUGCCUUACACUUGCAACACUGCAACCCCAAGGGAGAUUGCAUCUGCAGAGAUCUGCCUUCAUGCCUGGAUUGAUAAGUGACGCUGGGGAAGCAUCUUGGCAAGAUGCUGCUGCAGUAUCCUGUCUCCUCAUCACGUCGCCCUCUGGAAGACAGAAGUGACGAUCAGCGGCGUGCUGCUGUCCUGCAGGCAGUGAAGAACUGCUUUGACAGCUAGCAGGAGAAAACUAUGCAAUGUAAUCACAGCCUGUCUGUGCUCUUUCUAACAAUGUAUGGUAGCACCCUAUUACCAGUGAGGGGAUGCUGUGUCCUCCCUCUGAUGAUCUGUAUUCUUCUCCGUUACUGUAACUAAGCUGUUUCUUUCCCACAGCCAUGUGUUCCUGCAGAAAUAGCAAGGAUACCCCACGCAGAUUAAGGUUUACAAAUUCAGGAGGGGCUUGGACAGAGCAAAAGGAGAAUGAAGUAAUUCCAAAAUAUUUGUACUCCAGCUGAUAAAACUAGCAGGAGAGCUAAUGUUGUGUGGGGUUUGCUGUAGGGUAGAAGGAAACCUGGGGACAAACUGUCUCCUCUUAGACCUGCUAUAAGUGCUGUAUGAUAAAGGUGAAUUUCCAAACUUAGCCAUAAAGCUGCAGGUCAGCCAGCAGGACAGCGGCUUGUCCCAGUUCCCACUGCAGGCUGUAUAGAAGCUGCGUGUUGGAUCCGAUGGGGUUUGAAUCCUACCACAAAAACAAUGGCUGUUCUCAAGGUCGGGAGCACAGCUUUCUGUUAUGUGGUUUUGAAUGGAAGAAUUAUUGUGUAUCUAUUUAUGUAAAAUGGAAAAUGUAAAAAAAAAAACAUGUAUAUAUAUAUAUAUAUAUAUAUAUAUAUAUACACACUUUUCUUUAAUAAAUCUACGAAACGAGUCAA